rnacentral:rRNA from 1 species
CCUACGGGAGGCAGCAGUGAGGAAUAUUGGACAAUGGGCGCGAGCCUGAACCAGCCAAGUAGCGUGAAGGAUGAAUGCCCUACGGGUUGUAAACUUCUUCUAUAAAGGAAUAAAGUGAGGCACGUGUGCCUUUUUGUAUGUACUUUAUGAAUAAGGCUCGGAUAAAUCCGUGCAAGCAGCCGCGGUAAUACGGAGGAACCGAGCGUUAACCAGUAUUACUGGGUUUAAAGGGAGCGUAGAUGGGUUGUUAAGUCAGUUGUGAAAUUUUGCGGCUCAACCGUAAAAUUGCAAUUGAUACUGGCAGUCUGGAGUACAGUUGAGGUAGGCGGAAUUCGUGGUGUAGCGGUGAAAUGCUUAGAUAUCACGAAGAACUCCGAUUGCGAAGGCAGCUUACUAAACUGCCACUGACAUUGAUGCUCGAAAGUGUGGGUAUCAAACAGGAUUAGAUACCCCUGUAGUC